UAGGGUACCCUUUGACAUUUCUUAGUUUAACGAAAUGAACUAAAAUUUCAGAAUGACACAACUUUUUGAAAAACUAGUUCAUUUGUUUGAACUAAGAAAGGUCAAAGGGUACUCUA
rfam:Brachypodium distachyon strain Bd21 chromosome 2, whole genome shotgun sequence.